CCCGCCCCCGUUGCCAGGGAAGUGAGGUCAGGCAGUAUGGCGGCUCGAGGCUGGAGCGGCUGAGGAGCCGGGUUUGCGGUGAAUCCGCGUCCAUCCUCCCUGGGAGCUGCGGCGGCGGCGCUGCCAGGCCCACUGUUAUCGAGCGGCAGGGGCGAAGCCGCGAUGGCAUCAGGAGCCGCGGGGCUGUGAGGCAGCAGAGCGCGGGGCGGGCGGAGCAACAGAACCGGGCCGCGGACGAACCGAGCUGCCACCAUGGAGCUACGGGUUGGGAACCGGUACCGUCUGGGCCGGAAGAUCGGGAGCGGCUCCUUCGGGGACAUCUACCUGGGAACUGAUAUUGCUGCCGGAGAGGAGGUUGCAAUUAAGCUGGAAUGUGUGAAAACCAAACAUCCUCAACUCCACAUAGAGAGUAAAAUCUACAAAAUGAUGCAGGGUGGAGUGGGUAUUCCCACAAUUAAGUGGUGCGGAGCUGAAGGGGACUACAAUGUAAUGGUGAUGGAGCUGUUGGGGCCGAGUCUUGAAGAUCUCUUCAACUUUUGUUCACGGAAAUUUAGCCUCAAGACAGUCCUGUUGCUUGCUGACCAAAUGAUUAGUCGUAUUGAAUAUAUUCACUCUAAAAACUUCAUCCACCGAGACGUGAAGCCAGAUAACUUCUUGAUGGGCCUGGGCAAGAAAGGCAAUCUUGUCUACAUAAUAGACUUUGGAUUAGCAAAGAAGUAUCGAGAUGCUCGAACUCACCAACAUAUUCCAUAUCGUGAAAAUAAAAACUUAACAGGAACUGCCCGUUAUGCAUCCAUUAACACUCAUCUUGGAAUUGAGCAAUCUCGCAGAGAUGACUUGGAGUCCUUGGGCUAUGUACUGAUGUAUUUUAACCUGGGCUCCCUCCCCUGGCAGGGACUGAAAGCAGCAACAAAGCGGCAGAAAUAUGAACGUAUCAGUGAAAAGAAAAUGUCUACACCCAUUGAGGUUUUGUGUAAAGGAUACCCUUCUGAAUUUGCUACAUACUUGAAUUUCUGCCGUUCUCUACGUUUUGAUGACAAACCGGACUAUUCCUAUCUAAGGCAAUUGUUCAGAAACCUCUUCCACCGACAAGGGUUCUCCUAUGACUAUGUGUUUGACUGGAAUAUGCUGAAAUUUGGUGCAAGCAGAGCAGCUGAAGAUGCUGAACGUGAAAGGCGAGAACGAGAGGAAAGAUUGAGGCAUACACGAAAUCCAGCUGUGCGUGGAUUACCCUCCACUGCUUCUGGCAGGCUGAGAGGAACACAAGACACAGCUCCUCCUACUCCUCUUACCCCAACUUCACAUGCUGCCAACACCUCUCCUCGGCCAGUGUCUGGUAUGGAACGAGAAAGGAAAGUGAGUAUGAGAUUGCACCGUGGUGCCCCAGUCAAUAUCUCAUCAUCUGACCUAACAGGCCGACAAGAUACCUCUCGCAUGUCAACUUCGCAGAAUAGCAUUCCUUUCGAACACCAUGGCAAGUAGCUGCUCGUCUCCUCUCGUUGGAAGGCAGCACUGGGGAUGUUCAUGCAGCAGUGUGUCACCCACUCAAAAACAGCAAAAUACUUGUGUGAAGACUCAAUUAACUAUAUUACUCAAAUGAGGCUGUGUCUUGUAGUGAAUGGAAUGUUCCACUACAGCCGUAUCCAUUUUUCACUGGUUUAUAUUCUUCUCAAGCUAUAUAUUCCUUACAAGCUGUCACUUUAAAAAUACUCUGAACUAUUCAGAUCUAUAUUUUUAAAAUGUUCACAUACUGAUGAGAAUAGUUUGAACAUGAGCAUCUUGGAGGCAGACGGGCUCGGAUUUGGGUGUUCAGAACUCAUUUCCACCGUUCAGUGCAGUAGAAGUUUCUCCCGCUCUGUCCGCAGCUUUUGGCUUUUUAGUCUGUUCUGCUUUUGGCAAUAACAGGUGUAAUCAGGGAAAUAACAAGUUUCAGUUGGAAUCUGAACCUCGAUGGAUGCUUUCUUAAGUAUUUCAGGAGCUUCUUUGCUUCUUAUUGAAAAAAGCUGUGAGAAUUUGCUGUUCCUUAAUGAAUUCUGUUGUAUAACUCCGUCUGCUGCCUCACUUUCUCUAUGGAGCCCAAGCUUGCACUAAUCCUGCCUCUCAUUGGUGAAGAAUCCUGCUUUUCAUCUUCCGUUCAUCUCCUCCUGCUUGGUGUGCUUGGCUGACUGUGCACAAGCUGCUUUGGCAAACAGUUUGUAAUGUUAAAGAGCUCCAACUGUAAAUGGCAGCUUAACAUUUUAAUCAGACUGUAGUCAAAAAAACAAACCUAAAGCUUUGCAUUGGAGAGCUUGUGUGCGGGAGACGUGCGUAGUCGGGUCUGCUCAGGGUUGUGUCUGCACCGAUUGACCUUUACUGCGUGCCUUACUAUUUGUAGCUGUUUACAUCUGAAAUUAAUACUGUGUUCUGAUUCAGCUGCUUAGACAUUUCUCGCUUCUUAAAUUGCAGCGCUGCGUGGUUUUCACUUUCACAGUGAAAGUAUUGAAAUAACGUUAUACUUACCAAAAUAGGUCAAUCUGUGGAAAUUAAUGAUGUCUCUUUUUAUACAAUGUCCCAUGAAAAUGAAAAGCUGUUGAUUUCUGCCCCCUGCCCCAACCCUUGUUAUGAUUUUUUUUUUUCCCCCAAACUUACUCAUUGAGUCUAUCUCUGCACAUUACUAGUGGUUAUAUCUGGUCUGUUCUUCCGUGCAUGUUUAUGCUCUGUUCCCUUGUCUUCAAAACAUCCCCUGUGGCUGGAAAGGUGAAUUUUCCAUGUUAACUACUAACAAAGGAGGAAAUACAGGGAACUGCUUGUAGCUACAGAUUCCUGCUCGGGUAACUACCAGUGUUCUCCAGUCUGCUGUGCACCGAUGAAAAUUAUUGUGCCAUGAAGGGCAGAUAAUGCAUGGCUGAUCUCCUGCGUUACCAAUGGCUUUACUAGCAAAAAUACCCUGAACUAGAGUGGAAACAGUACAAAUGGGGUUCUCCAUGUGACUUAAAAGGCACUUGGAGGAACGUGGACAGACUCCAGCAGCUGCCAUUGCAGGACGCUUCUGCAAGAAACCCAGUGACCUUAAGAGAACCCUGUGGUACCAGGGCUGGAAAAGAGAGAUGGUUUACAGAGUUGACCGCCUGUUAUCGGAUGGCCGUUUCAGUUUUCCCCCCACGGGCGGCCAGCUGUACCCCUUUUUAUUAUUCUACUGUAACUAUAAAUCUUUUACUUGGUUUAAGAAAGUUUUUUGUAUCAUUUUGCUAAGAUUAUUGGCUUAAUUCUCUGUAAAGAACUGUUGCUUUUGUCUGAUUUAAAAAUAUAGACUAUAAACAAACCUAAACUAAAGACAAUGACUUGAAAUUUAUUGUUUAAAAAAUUUGUCUGGCAGGGAACAUGUAAAUGAAUCAAAAACAUCUGACUUUAUUUAAACUGUUUACUUAUUUGUAUAGUCCCAUUCUGACUGAGGCAGUUUUCUUAAAACCGUUAGAAUUUUACUUGGCUGUUUGCUGUCUUCACUCACACUUACUGCUUAACUUUCUGUGUAACACAAAGGAAUUUUUAAUACUCGUUCUUUUUCAUAGAAGAGAAUAAUACCCUGCAGGAGAGUGCAAGCAUAGUAGAGAUCAUGAGGACGGAUUUCGGUUGUUUUGUGAAGAAUAGGAAAGACACUGGUGUUUGAGGGAUGGAGAAUUUGCAAGCUUGUCCUGUCUCUGCUUCAUUUGGGUAAAUGGAUGGUUUCAAACAUUGUUUUUGUUGAUGGAAAUUUUGUUUCCUGCGGUUUGAGGGCGGUUGGAUUGGAGGGUAUUGCAGGUGGGAAACACGCCUUGCCACCGAGUCCUCCGUGAAUUUGCACAUUUCGUUCAGUAUCUACAUAUUUAAAGCAAAAAAAAAAAUAAUCAGUCCUUGUGUUUCAUGCCAGGUCUCAAAAACUGAAUUCUUUAAAAAAAAAAGAGAAGGAAAGAAAAAAAUCUUGCUGUGAAAUGCCGAGAUUUUUUUACAAUUCGGGUGCAUACCAUAUUUAAUUGUUAACUGUAUUCAAGCUGAGUAUGCCCGGAGUCAUUAGCCAGGAGUGAACGACUCGGCAUGCGUGGGUUGUCCAAGAAACUGUUGCAGGUGUUGUUAGCACCUGUUGCUUAUGGAAUAUAGAGAUUCUUUGUAACGUUUGUUGCUGUAGACAGUCUCAUAAAAUAGAUAUUCUAUCUUCACAGUACUCGGAAAGGUAUCAGAAGUACUGUUCAUACUACUAUGACUAAAGUAAUGGGAAGUUCCACGUUGGAAAUGAAAGUAUAUUCAGAGAUUUUGUUUGAACAGGGAUUAUGAGAAAUUCUUCCCUGCUUGGGGAAAAAAAAAAUAUUAAAGGCUUAUUGGUCUUCAGAGUGUUAUGAAGAGUAUUUUUAUUGUUUCAAUGUUCACAUAUUCUUUUUGCCCCUCUCGAAAGUCCACGUAUUAAGUAUUAGUCACUCUUCUUUGGAUGUUUCCAGAACACUGGCUGCUUGCCUGUGUAUACUCCGGGUCUGACUGGGGAAGGCUGUGUUAGCAGAGUGUAGGGAGAAGCAUAAGAGUUUGAUCCAUGGAUAUGUUUGCAUAAGAGAAUUAUUUCCUCAGUUACUAUAAACUUCAGUAUUUUAGGCAUGUGCACUACCAUUUGAACAGUUUUACACUUCACUGUGCUUUCCUUGUAAAUAUCUGUGGUUAAUAAUGUGCUGUUAGAGGGAAUUACAAAGGCAGCCUCUUUAUUCUCUCUGUAUCUGGAACAUUAGAAUGCUGUACUAUACUUAAAAGUUGACUGCAGACUUCUAGAAUUGUACUCACUUGUGGGCGAUCUUUGUCCUUCAUAAUAGUUAAAUUCCAUCAUACAGAAAAUAGUUAGACUGUCUAUAUAAACCUGUGUAUUGGAAACCAGUCAGAGCACUUCAUUUGUACUACCACUGUAUUUGUGUACUUUAAGAAUUGUGUAAAUACAUUCAUAAUAACUUCUA